GAGCGCUUAGUCAUUACGAUAGGUGUCAAGUGGAAGUGCAGUGAUGUAUGCAGCUGAGGCAUCCUAACAGACCGAAAGACUUGAAC
rnacentral:rRNA from 1 species